AACCUUGUGGUGAAUACAAAGCGAACUAUUCUUUCGCCUUUUACUAAAGAAUACCGUGUAUUCAUCACAUAACGAGGUAUAUGUGAAAUUUUUUAAAGGAUACCUUCCUUAUAGAAGAAGU
rfam:Cicer arietinum chromosome Ca5, whole genome shotgun sequence.